CUCUGAACGUGGUUGGGAUCGUGUUUGUAGCGGCAUUACACGUGGAGAGAUAAUUUGGUUAUUUUUGUUACCAGUUAUAUAUUAUCUGCUUCAUAAAUAUGCAGACGUGCAGACGUUCAAUUAUAAUAUUUAUCUGAAAAGUAUUAAGAAAUCACUAGUGAAUUUCUAUAAAUUUUAUGUAUUUAUUUCGUUGCGUGUGUGUGUGUGUGUGUCUGUGUGGCUAGUGGAGGAUAUAUUUUACCAAUAAUGGAUUUAGUAUCUUUGUAAUAAUACGAAGUAAUUAAGUAUUAUUUUUUUUCUCUUUAUUAUAAUAUAUCUACUUUUUAUCUAUCUAAAUGAUGGAUGAUAAUGUUAAGUAUUGACAAUUUUAAAAGUAGCAUUAGUCAAUUUCAGCUAAAAUUUACUCGUACUAUCGUGCUAUCUCAACAAUAAAUUGCAUAAUUUAUAGAUACGGUAUAAAGUAUUAAUUAAUUUACAGUUGAUACAAUUCUCGAAUUCAACUGUUUCUUGAUACUUAAGAGUGUGAAUUCUUAAUUGUUUAAAAAAAAAAGGAAUUAAAUCAUUUAAUGUACUAUUCUUACUAGUUAACAGAAUUCAACAACAUGGAUACAUUUUAUAAUUAAUAAUUUAACGAUUUACGUGUCAUUAAAAUCCGUAAGUGUCCACAUAUUUAAUGCGCAUGCUUAAUGAACGUAUAUAAGUGUAGUUUCAGCAAGUUUGUGUCGUAGUGGAUGGAGCGAUAAAUACCGUUUCGAAACGGUAUGAUUAGUCAUAUUGUGUUAUGAGCCAUUACGAGGUCGUGGAAAAUAAGGUGGCGGUCGAUCGCGUAGUGAUUUCAACGGCUCUAGGAAAUUCACGGGGCUCUCUUUAUUUCCUUUCCUUCGAUAAGAAAUAUACGUAACAAAUUUUUCAACUUCUCAAAACCUGAUUACUUAACUUUCAAAUUGGUUACUUAACUUUACUUGCACUUCCGAACGAUAAUCGAUAGACAUUAUUAUUUGUUUCUCGCGUCGAUAAUGAUAGAACGAGAAGAAUGUUAAAUAUUAUAGCACGAUAAUAAUUAAGCAUUAAUUUUCUUCUAAAUUUUUCAAUUUUUCCAACCAUUGGUUAACCAAUCGAUAUUAAUUUUUCCCCCCCUUCUUUUUUUCAGUAAUUCGAAACUCGGGCCAUUUUGAAUUUCGAAAGGUUACGAAUUCUGGCAUUGAACCGUGAAGGUUUUCCCUUUCGAGAAACAACCGGUAACAAAUUGCCGAUCAAUUUUGUUAUGACGGGUCCCGAAUAAAAGGGUAAGAAGCCCUUUUGCGUGGAGAGGAAGGAGAGGGAAUACACGUUUCAAUUCGAAUCACGCGGUGCCCUCGAGCGCAACAAUGGCCUGUUCUUCGAGCGGGGGAUACGAGGAGGGGAAAAAUCAAGGGGGAAUAAUCACCCCUCGUAUAAAUAUAGGUCACGAUAGAAACAAGCGUUGGAUAAGCUGCGUGUUGGCCGACGACGUGAACGUAGAAUGAAAUCACUCGUGCGGAUUUAUCUGGAGAGAGAAGGAGAAAGAGAGAGAAAGGGAGAAUAGAAUAAAUUUUGAGAUAAAAGUGUGUUAAUCUAUAUCUUAUAUUUUUUGAAAAUGAUAUAUAUGUUCUUUUCGUUAAAGAAAUGGAUAGACGAGUUUCGAUAAAAAUUUUGAGAAGCUUCGAAGAUGUAUUCGACAAAUAUUAAAAGAAAAGAAAGAAAAAAAGAAAUAGGGAACGAGAUUAAAAUUAUCAAAAGUUCGUUUGCUUCUAAUUCAUUCGUUAUCUCUUGAGAAAGUUUCUUCAAAAAGACCUGGACGAAAAUUUCAAAUAACGAUAUUAAAAAUAAUUUUAUCGAAUCAACGAUAUUUAUUAUUCGAUAAGCAGUGUAUUUCGAUCGAUGAUACAUUCUUUAUUUGACCAAUUAAGGCAAUUAUUUGAAAGAACGAUAAAUUAAAAUAAUUUGAGAAAACGUUAUAUAAUGUGAACGUGCCAUACGUACUAAGGAAUCAAUUAUUAUUUUCACUCAAAAUCAAAUUUAAUCGUUCAAUUCUCAAAUAAUAUAUAUAUAAAAAAUAAUAACUUUAAAAAAUAAUUUGAAAAUCCCUCUCGUAACCAGAACUUAAAAUCUUCUCUAAAGGUGUAUAUAUAUAUCUACGUCCUUUUUUUACUCGCUCGCGUGAUUCAUAUGAUCGCCCGUUCUUCGAAGAACAAAGGAUACUUCGGAGGGUGUUUCGAUCCGAUUGUUGCCCAGUUUUACGAUCGUUAUCGUUGUAAAAACGCGACAAUUACGGCUGAUUAAGACUAUCUAUAGUCCCCGGCCGUACAGUAGUCUAUUUGCAGCAGCUGACGAAACUCGUUUCCGUGUUGCAUCAGUCGCCCGAUAACCGACAUUGUUGUUUACCGAUCGUCGAUAAUUACGCUACGAGUUUUCUUCUUUCGUUCCAUCCUCAUCCCCGCUCCUUCCUCUCCAAAGUCGAAUCUCUCUUGUCAAAACACCGAUACCCUCGAUCACGAGCUGACAAUAAUCCUUCUUGCCCCCUCCUCGUUCUUCAACGUUUCGCUCGAUACUCGCGUAAAACGAUCGAACGAUUUCCCAUCCCAUCGAACAGAUUCGUCCGCUCGAACGAAUAAAUGCUGGAACACGGCCUUGGGAUACAGCGGCUGACAGUGUCCUUUAACAGUUCGAAGAACCACCCCCUGCAACAGGAAACGCAGCUUCCCCAUCCAGCUUCUCCUCCGCUUUGGGACAAACAGCUGAUCUCGCUCUCAGCUGCCUACGUACGAAAGCGUGGAGGGAGGGUGCGGCCGGCAGGGACUGUCAGCUGUCUGUUUGUAAAUAAUUUCGCCGGCACUUUAAUUUUCCAUCGUUAACCUUCAUCCGUAUAACUGUUCCAGCUCCAGUCAUGGGUAGGGGUCCGGUACUGCGAUCUUUUAUAUGCGUUCCACGAACACCAUGCCUCUAAUAGAAUUUCCCCUCAUAAAGCGGCGACGGGAACAAAGUGUGCUCGUUUGUUCGGCUCCAUUCACUUUCGCUCUAUCAACCGACACGAGUCUCUCGAUAUAUUAUCGGGGAAAUUUGGUAAAAAUUUCAAGAACCAACGAGCUCUCAAGAAACGAUUCCACAAUUGGAUCGUUGGAAAACUAUUUGACUAAACUAUUUAACUAUAACGAAAAUUUCUACGUGAUUCACGAAUAAACCAUUUCAUUACGUGAUCGAUACGAGAAAAAGAAGAAAGGCAGAUGAUUCGAAAAUCAGAGAUACAAAAGUGGCGAUAAUAUUUUCCUGACAAUCCUUUUAUCGCCUAAAUAUUUUCACCGUUGAUCGUUCUACCUGAUAGCCGAUACACUCGAUCCUGAAGGAUUGUAGUAGACGAUCGUAAAAGUUACACGGUUUGAGAUGGAUCUUGACGGAAUUGGUUGGAUAAGUUCUUCGCGGUGGAUUAAAUUAAGUCAAGCGAGCAAGAAAGUAUCGUUGUAUUUGAAAGUUAUUACAAUUAUUUGCGAAGUGAUCGACGUAAUAUAUUUUAUUCCAAUGACUUCGUGAAAGUAUCACGGAAUCGGGGUCAAUAUCUAACUCGUAAGUUCUCUCUGAGUGAUACCUAUCUUCGAUAAUUUAUGUACACUUUUCUAUAACAUAGAUAUAAUUAUAGGUAUAUAUCUCUAAUGACAUAUAAUAGCCGAAUACACAGUCAAUAUCUAUAAUUAACACAUAAGUUAAGAUUAAGCUCGAAACAUUAAAAAAAACAAAAUAACAAAAAAAAAUUGAAGCGCCCCAAUUUCCUCUCUUUCUCUAAAACGAUACAUUUAAUUUGCAGCAAAAUUUAAUAAUUAUACGUUUUCUAGUACAUCCAGUAAUAGUAGAAAAGAAAAAAAAAAGAAAUACACAAGGAGAGAAACAUGUAAUGAUUUCCCUUCGUUCCAAGCCAAGAACACGUCUGCACACGUCAAAGUCAACGAGAUCAACGAGCCCUUUUGCCUUUUUCUUUCGACUCCAUCUCUCUCUUUCUACCAUCUCACUUAUUUACGACUCACUACCACUAUCCACUAAUGACAGUUCCAUUCCAAGGGGAUGCUCUCGGAACGAUCGAUCGCUCCCCUCCCCCUCGGCUAUUUUAUAGCCGGGGUAGGUAGGAAAAUGAGGGGGAUAGAGGGGGGACGUGAUAUACAGUUCGACACAGUUUUAUAUCUCGAUCGUAAAACGCAUCACGCGUACCGUUCCUCGAUCCUUGCAUCGUAUCCGACAAUGGCGCGCAUCGGUAAAUUUACGUUUCGAAAUUUUUAUGUCCGGACCAGCUCCUUUUCGCCACCCUGCGAAAUAGAUACGAUUUCCCGGCUUUCCAUCGCUGGCACAGGGGGAGGGGGUUAAUUUACCGUCGCAUAAACGUCGGCGCGCAUCGUUUAAGGGUGCGCAUCGAUUUUGGCCGACAAAAGGAACAAAAGGAGUCGCGCGUCCUUUGAUCGCGUUGCGAUACGAUGUAAUUUGAUUAAAUUUAUUGUAACGUGAAUAGACCACCCUUGGCGUGAGAACGAGGAGAUUUUUGAAAAUAACGGAAGCAGAGUUGUUUCUUUCUUUCUUUUUUUUUUUUUUGGAUUUUGAAACAUAUGGAAAGGAAGUUGUUCGAGGAUUGAAAGGAUUGA